CAUUUUCUGCCCCAACCAUGUGGUUCAAGCAAUUUGAAGCAAGUCUUAAGUCUUCUUUGUAUUCUCAGUUUUAAAAGAAGAAAAAGAAAGGGUAUUUAUACUGAUAAAGAAAGGGUAUUUAUACUGAUAAUCCGAAAGUUAAUCGAUGUUAUAUGGAAAUAUUACAUCCUAAUUCUUUGGCAGCAGUGUCGAGGAACUGUAUAGUCAUUCCUCUUGCAAGCUGACUAUAAACUUCCCAUGUUAAGCACUUUUCGAUAUCAG
rnacentral:lncRNA from 1 species